rnacentral:lncRNA from 1 species
UUGGCAUGUAGGUUGCAAGCUCUGGGCCAGCAAAUCUUCCUUUAAGGGAGAGCAUUCACUCUCCCUUUGGGCUCCUUCAAAGCAGCAUGAGGUGCUGUGAAAUCUUUAUGGUCCCUGCAAUAGAGUCAAGAUGUUGUUUUAUUUAUUGCAUCAACAUAACCCAUUCUUCAUUUUGCAGUAGGCGCCAAGCUGAGUAAGAAUAAAAGAUUCACUUGUAUUUCAGUCUAUAACUUGAAGGGCUGUGGAUGUAUCCAUCCCAGAGAUUUGACAACAAAGCAGUCUCUCACAAUCAAUAAGGGAAAGGAGUUCUUGGUUGUUCUUUAAAGGAGUUGGAGUGCUGAUAGUUGCCCUCUGCCAUAGUGACUUAAAAGAUACAGUGACCUGAAGAUACUGUAUUAAAUAGAAGUUUGUUUUUUGUUGUGUUGCAAUAGGAAGCUCAUUGUCACAAAUCUGCUCAUGCUUUGGAGCAAGCCGGUGCUGGGAGAUAGUCACAUGUGGGAAAAAUCUAAUUUCCAUUCUUUUGUUUUGUUUAGAUACGUCACUUUGAGAUCACAGAAUGAAAGCAGCAUGAAAUGUUAUGGCAAAGACAGCACAAGAAGACACAAGAAUCUCACAAAUCCUCAAAAAUCAGGUGCUUGGCACACUAAACUUACUGAUCUGUGUAGGAUUUGUGCUGUGGUCCAUUCAUUGAAGAUGUGAAACAACAUCAAGUCUGAGAUUGGAGUUACUGACAGACUGGAGGAAAUUUUAGUCCUUGUGAUGCACGUGGACAUGCUGAAUUAUAAGUAAUUCUAGCUUCUUGUCCCCUCCCCUCCCUUCCCCUCACUCAGCUAUCUCAGGGUUCAUAGAGAUUUCAAUGGUUUGUGUGCCUGUAAGUU